rnacentral:misc_RNA from 1 species
AUAACAGCACUCACAGCAAAAUCGCUUCUUAAAAUAGUUGAUGGAAAUGUUUUAUGGAUGCAUGAUCAGCUCAAAGACAUGGGAAGACAAAUCGUACAACGUGAGAAUUCUGGAGAUGUUGAUAAGCGUAGUAGAUUGUGGAAUCACGAUGAUAUUAUGACUGUCCUAAAUAACUACAAGGGCACAAGUAACAUUGAGGGUAUUGUGUUUCACUUUGAGAGGAAUCAAG